rnacentral:rRNA from 1 species
AGCGAACGCUGGCGGCAGGCCUAACACAUGCAAGUCGAACGGACCCUUCGGGGUUAGUGGCGGACGGGUGAGUAACACGUGGGAACGUGCCUUUAGGUUCGGAAUAGCUCCUGGAAACGGGUGGUAAUGCCGAAUGUUCCCUUCGGGGGAAAGAUUUAUUGCCUUUAGAGCGGCCCGCGUCUGAUUAGCUAGUUGGUGGUUUAACGGACCACCAAGGCGACGAUCAGUAGCUGGUCUGAAAGGAUGAUCAGCCACAUUGGGACUGAGACACGGCUCAAACUCCUACGGGAGGCAGCAGUGGGGAAUCUUGCGCAAUGGACGAAGGCCUGACGCAGCAAUGCCGCGUGAAUGAUGAAGGUCUUAGGAUUGUAAAACACUUUCACCGGGGACGAUAAUGACGGUACCCGGAGAAGAAGCGCCGGCUAACUUCGUGCCAGCCGCCGCCGUAACAC